rnacentral:rRNA from 1 species
AUUGAACGCUGGCGGCAUGCCUUACACAUGCAAGUCGAACGGCAGCACGGGAGCAAUCCUGGUGGCGAGUGGCGAACGGGUGAGUAAAGUAUCGGAACGUGCCCAGUCGUGGGGGAUAACGUAGCGAAAGUUACGCUAAUACCGCAUACGAUCUAUGGAUGAAAGCGGGGGAUCGCAAGACCUCGCGCGAUUGGAGCGGCCGAUAUCAGAUUAGGUAGUUGGUGGGGUAAAGGCUCACCAAGCCGACGAUCUGUAGCUGGUCUGAGAGGACGACCAGCCACACUGGGACUGAGACACGGCCCAGACUCCUACGGGAGGCAGCAGUGGGGAAUUUCGGACAAUGGGCGAAAGCCUGAUCCAGCCAUGCCGCGUGCAGGAUGAAGGCCUUCGGGUUGUAAACUGCUUUCGUACGGAACGAAAAGGUUUGGCCUAAUAAGCUGAGCUCAUGACGGUACCGUAAGAAUAAGCACCGGCUAACUACGUGCCAGCAGCCGCAGUAA